UGAUUAUGAAUUUUCUAUCAGGAGGUUUGGAGGCCAUAUCAAGGGAGCAUGGCAUUACGCACUAAUGAGAAAUGGAAAAAAACGAGGGAAGAAGAGGGUUUGGAGGGCAGAAAAUGAGCGACAGUGACAGACACAACGACAUGCAGCAGGUCGAGAAGACAACGAGGGUGAAGGUGAUGCCUAUGGAUGCCUGGUCUGUCAGACAUGUGAUAAGUGAUAGUGGAUCAUUUCUUUUUCUCACCACAGAAUAUAGUUAGGGUGAUAUUGUGAUGGUGCCACACCCUGGCAGAGGAGAGCACAGCUGGGUUUGAGGUGAACUUUGUUCCUGCAACAAGUUGAAGCAAAGCCAUGCAAACUCACCAGCAAAAACAGUCUAGUUAAAAACCAAGUUCAGGCAAUUUUUCAACACAUUUGCAAUGGUCUCUAGUUUAAAUGGAUGCAUUGUGAGUCGAUCUCUGCGGGGGAAAAGCUAUGGUUCUCCUGUUUCAGGAAGUAGAAGUGAGCCAGAGGGGAGGGGAGCAGAAGAAGGCAGUAUUUGGAGUCUUACUUCCUGGUAUUUGGACAUCUUGCCUCUGAUUGGAUAACAGCAUUUUGACUCUACCACUGGCUCCAUCUGCUUUGUAAUGUUGAUGUUUUCUCUCUACAAAUAACUCAAGCCUGAAGGAGUUCUGCCAUGUUCUGAAGUUGUUAAUGCUAACAGUUAGCCUCUACUAGCCAAGGUCUGCACCCUGCUAGAAAAACCACCAUAGACCAGGACAGCUGGUUACCAGCAUAUGUGUUGGGUAUUUUCAUAUCCUGGAGAGAAGUCAGUAGGUUUUUUUACGCUGUGAAGAGGCAGCGGAGAGCAACCGCCCAAAAGCCUGUCCAAGGCCCUUGUCCACUGGCGUGUUCUCUCUCUCUCCAGCUGGUUUUAUUGAAACACAGGCAAACCGAGACAAAGGACAAUCCAUCACUGUCCACACUUUAGUGAUGGGAAUUACAACUCUUUUUAGAGAGCAGGUUCUUUUGGCUCAGCUCACCAAAAAGAGCCGGCUCUUUCGGCUCCCAGGUGGCUCCUCGGAUUUUCUGUUGCGUAGAGUACAUUUUUAACAAAAAUAAUGCUAAACUAUAUGUAAAAUAAUUUACUAAUGUUAAAAAAAGCAAUAUAUCAAAUAUUUAUCAUUUCUAUGGAUUUAAUAACUGAACACUAAGAAAUCUCCACCAUCCGACUGCUGGCGCUCAUUUUCUCACUGUCUUCGUCGCGCUCUCCUCCCUCUCGCUCACCUUUUUCCUCCUCCUCAUUCCCUCUCGUCUCCCUCCUCCCCCAUGUGCUC
rnacentral:lncRNA from 1 species